UCACACUAAGUACGCAUGGUGAGACUUGGAAAAUAAGUACAAAAAAUGGAUUGGAGUGUUUUUGGAAAGUUAGAAAGGCAAUUUAUCUGCUUCUGUCUCUCUCUUUGUACUAAGUUUGGGUUCCAGUCAGGUUAUUUCAACGCUUGCCCAUCUCUAAUUGCAUUUCUAAUGAACUGAAUUCAAAUUAAACACUAAAGAGAAAAAACUUCUCAGAACAUAUAUUGUGUUUAUUUAGGCCAGACCAGUUUGUAUGAAAGUACAAAAUCAAUCAAGGCCUAAAAGGAAGCUGGCAAACAGUCAGUGCUUUAGCAGAUCUUCACUUCCUCCAUGAGAAAGCCAGUGGCAGAGGGCUGAGAAAUUCUUAGCACUUAUAACAUCAGUUUAUUUAAUAACAAGAUGAGUAAAGGUGAUACAACGACUUGAAUUGAUGACUACGGCACCAAAGUUGUCAUUUUGAUGACUUGUUUGGGCAGAAAGAGUGGUAGUAGCUGGGUGAUAGAUUGUUCAUUCUUUAUCCUGCUACAAUGACAUCUGCUUUAUUCACAGAUCAGCCACCAGUUGCUACAACAACGCCAGUGUGCUUUAGAAAAUGUUGUUGAGCUGCUGAGAGAAUCUUGGCUACCCAUUAGCAAAAUGUUAACUAUGCAAAACCAAAUAGCGUUCGGUUUUGUUGUUGGAAAAAAGUCAACGCUCUGCAAUAAGUAAGAAUGUCAAAAAGAAUUUACAUUCAAAAAGUAGAGAGGGGGUUUAACCCAUGAUAUCACCAUGAUUCCACCCCUCUCCCCCAGAAUUAAUUAGUAAGCCAUUAGGUCCAAAGAAUAGAGAAAAUAAAUAAUGAGAUUUAAACAGAAAGAACAAAUGCACUUUCCACUGAACAGCUUGGUGUCUGCAGCAUUCAGACAUGUACAUUGCUCUCCACUUUCCUCUGUACUGUUUUGGAUUUUAACAGCAAUCCUUUGCUAAUAAGGGUUUUAUUUAUUUAUUUAACACUUAACAUUUUCAGAAGAUGCCAAAUGCUGCUAAACACUGUGGGAAAUCUGAUUUGGAUGCCAGAUAAAGUCUCUUGCUUCCAGCUCCCAUGGGAGAGCGCAGCAUUACAACAUGAUGGUAUUCAGCAAAGCCUCUAGAUUUGAUUGUCCCACUAAUCAUCAAAAGAUACUGGAUCUGAAUCCCAAAGGCAUAGCUAAGUGUUGAUCAGAUUUUUUUUAUCUUUGUUGUGUU
rnacentral:lncRNA from 1 species